rnacentral:rRNA from 1 species
GGAUUAGAUACCCUGGUAGUCCACGCCCUAAACGAUGAUAACUAAGUGUUGCAUGUAGAUGCAGUGCUGUAGCUAACGCGUUAAGUUAUCCACCUGAGGAGUACGGUCGCAAGAUUAAAACUCAAAGGAAUAGACGGGGACCCACACAAGCAGUGGAUCACGUGGUUUAAUUCGACAAUAAACGGGGAAUCUCACCCAGACUUGACAUCCUGAGAAUCUUUGAGAAAUCAGAGAGUGCCCUUACGGGAGCUCAGUGACAGGUGCUGCAUGGUUGUCGUCAGCUCGUGCCG